AGUUUUCUUUUUUGGCUGUUGCUCAUUACAAAUGAAAUUUGUAAUGGCUUCUCUGAAGGAUAGGCAUCCGACCACCAGGGUAGACCCCUUGCUUUUUCUUUCCU